rnacentral:rRNA from 1 species
UUGAACGCUGGCGGCAGGCCUAACACAUGCAAGUCGUGCGGAUGAAGGGAGCUUGCUCCUGGAUUCAGCGGCGGACGGGUGAGUAAUGCCUAGGAAUCUGCCUGGUAGUGGGGGAUAACGUCCGGAAACGGGCGCUAAUACCGCAUACGUCCUGAGGGAGAAAGUGGGGGAUCUUCGGACCUCACGCUAUCAGAUGAGCCUAGGUCGGAUUAGCUAGUUGGUGGGGUAAAGGCCUACCAAGGCGACGAUCCGUAACUGGUCUGAGAGGAUGAUCAGUCACACUGGAACUGAGACACGGUCCAGACUCCUACGGGAGGCAGCAGUGGGGAAUAUUGGACAAUGGGCGAAAGCCUGAUCCAGCCAUGCCGCGUGUGUGAAGAAGGUCUUCGGAUUGUAAAGCACUUUAAGUUGGGAGGAAGGGCAGUAAGUUAAUACCUUGCUGUUUUGACGUUACCAACAGAAUAAGCACCGGCUAACUUCGUG